UGCAGUAGAACGCUGAAGACUUUAGCUUGCUAAAGUUGGAAGAGUUGCGAACGGGUGAGUAACGCGUAGGUAACCUGCCUACUAGCGGGGGAUAACUAUUGGAAACGAUAGCUAAUACCGCAUAACAGCAUUUAACCCAUGUUAGAUGCUUGAAAGGAGCAAUUGCUUCACUAGUAGAUGGACCUGCGUUGUAUUAGCUAGUUGGUGAGGUAACGGCUCACCAAGGCGACGAUACAUAGCCGACCUGAGAGGGUGAUCGGCCACACUGGGACUGAGACACGGCCCAGACUCCUACGGGAGGCAGCAGUAGGGAAUCUUCGGCAAUGGGGGCAACCCUGACCGAGCAACGCCGCGUGAGUGAAGAAGGUUUUCGGAUCGUAAAGCUCUGUUGUAAGAGAAGAACGUGUGUGAGAGUGGAAAGUU
rnacentral:rRNA from 1 species